rnacentral:rRNA from 1 species
CCCGCACAAGCAGCGGAGCGUGUGGUUUAAUUCGUUGCUACACGAAGAACUUACCUGGGUUUGACAUAUAGGUUGUAGGGAACUGAAAGGGACGACCCUUCGGGGAGCCUAUACAGGUGUUGCAUGGCUGUCGUCAGCUCGUGUCGUGAGAUGUUCGGUUAAGUCCGCUAACGAGCGCAACCCUCGUCGUAUGUUAUAUGUGUCAUACGAGACUGCCGGUAAAAGCCGGAGGAAGGUGAGGAUGAUGUCAAGUCAGCAUGACCUUUAUAUCCAGGGCUACACACACGCUACAAUGGUCUGUACAAUGGGUAGCCAAGCCGCGAGGCGGAGCCAAUCCUGAAAGCAGGCCUCAGUUCAGAUUGCAGUCUGCAACUCGACUGCAUGAAGCCGGAGUUGCUAGUAACCGCAGGUCAGCAAUACUGCGGUGAAUACGUUCCCGGGUCUU